rnacentral:rRNA from 2 species
ACGGAAGGCAGCAGUGGGGAAUAUUGCACAAUGGGGGAAACCCUGAUGCAGCGACGCCGCGUGAGUGAAGAAGUAUUUCGGUAUGUAAAGCUCUAUCAGCAGGGAAGAAAAUGACGGUACCUGACUAAGAAGCCCCGGCUAACUACGUGCCAGCAGCCGCGGUAAUACGUAGGGGGCAAGCGUUAUCCGGAUUUACUGGGUGUAAAGGGAGCGUAGGCGGCGUGGCAAGCCAGAAGUGAAAGCCCGGGGCUCAACCCCGGGACUGCUUUUGGAACUGUCAUGCUAGAUUGCAGGAGAGGUAAGUGGAAUUCCUAGUGUAGCGGUGAAAUGCGUAGAUAUUAGGAGGAACACCAGUGGCGAAGGCGGCUUACUGGACUGUAAAUGACGCUGAGGCUCGAAAGCGUGGGGAGCAAACAGGAUUAGAUACCCUGGUA